rnacentral:rRNA from 1 species
UACAGAGGUCUCAAGCGUUGUUCGGAUUCAUUGGGCGUAAAGGGUGCGUAGGUGGCGGGGUAAGUCAGGUGUGAAAUUUCGGAGCUUAACUCCGAAACUGCAUUUGAUACUGCCUUGCUUGAGGACUGGAGAGGAGACUGGAAUUCACGGUGUAGCAGUGAAAUGCGUAGAUAUCGUGAGGAAGACCAGUGGCGAAGGCGGGUCUCUGGGCCGUAACUGACGCUGAGGAGCGAAAGCGUGGGGAGCGAACAGG